rnacentral:rRNA from 1 species
GUGAGUAGUUCAGAGUUUGAUCCUGGCUCAGGAUGAACGCUGGCGGCGUGCUUAACACAUGCAAGUCGAACGGAGUUUACAUGUGAGCGGAGGUGCUUGCAUCUGACAAUCUUUUGCAAACUUAGUGGCGGACGGGUGAGUAACGCGUGGGUAACCUGCCCUAUACAGGGGGACAACAGUUGGAAACGACUGCUAAUACCGCAUAAGCGCACGGUAUCGCAUGAUACAGUGUGAAAAACUGAGGUGGUAUAGGAUGGACCCGCGUCUGAUUAGCUAGUUGGUGAGGUAAUGGCUCACCAAGGCGACGAUCAGUAGCCGGCCUGAGAGGGUGGACGGCCACAUUGGGACUGAGACACGGCCCAA